rnacentral:lncRNA from 1 species
AUGGGAGUUAUUAGCACUCGAGUUCUGCACCGCAAAUACAUCGGCCCCAAGGGAGGAGAGGGAGAGAGGGACCAUGUAAGGAUGGAGCCAAGAAUCCAGAGGAGUGGGGCUGGGCUGCCUCCAAGGUCACCCCUUCCUUGGGAGGACGGAGCAGAGCGAUGCUCCCUGGCAUGCAGAUCAUCCUGCAGAACAUCACACAGCAUCCUACAGAGUGUGGCAGAGCAUCCCUCAGAGCAUCCCACACCACCAGGGCUGUAUUCCAGCUGCUGCAGCCUUCUCCUUGCUGUGGGAUCUCAGUCCCAGCCUCUCUGCAGGGGCACGUGGUGGGGACAGCAGUGUUUUCGCACUAAUCUCCAUGAGCAGACUGUUAGGAUAAUAAAGCAAAUAAACGGAAGAGUUAUAGCUGAGGCACUUGGGGCACUGUAAAACAGGCUGAAAGCAAAUACAGCAUCGUUAAUCCAUCAUAAAAUAACAGCCUCUUACGAUCCCGAAUGCAUCAAAAUGAAUGGGAGUGUGGCGGGGUCACCGUUCAAACAGGGAAGUGCUGAAUGCGAAGCAGGGCUGGGAGCGGGGAUGGGGUGGGAACCAACCCCCGGCCACGAGGAUCAGGAGAAGGAGCUGGGAACACCAGGCUGGGGGGGGUGCAAGGGAAUGUCCCUGCCUGCGCAUGGAAGUGGCUCUAAAACCAGUAACACCAGUGCAAGCCAGUGGGUGAGGUGCAGUGUGUGCACUGCUGGGGAUGGAGGUGUCAGUGGGGUCCCAGCGCUGGGGUUCAAAUCCCCACAGGUGAUGGGGCAGUGAGUGGGAGCAGGAACAAACUAAUGAAGACACCUGAGUGCUGGGAUCCCUUGGGCAGGUUCACUGGGCUCUGCGCAGCAACUCUUUUAAUGCUGGUGAAGGAAACAAGAAGAAAACCCUGAAGCAUCGGCAGUGUGUUCGGUGUCUGGGCACAAUGCCACGGCGUGCCCAGCACUGGGAGGCUCGGGGGAUAGGGACAGAAUGGGGUCCAAGGGGACAGUGCUGGGGUCAGAGCACAUCUCAGGGUGCACACAGGGAAACCUGGGCCCAGGGCAACACCCGGGCUGCAGGAACAGCGAAGGCACAGAGGGAACGGGGACAGACAGACGGACACCUGUCACAGCAGAGUUUGGAGUGUGUCACAAACCCCACGUGCACUCACUCCCCACUCACUCCCACCAGCACCGACCCCAUCCCAGAGCUGUGAUGCUCCCUGGGGGUUGGGUGGGUGCGUGGUCCCUUCCGUGAGCAGAGCACCCCCGGGGUCCCGGGGCGUCUCUCCCUCAUUAGCAGCCUCCUCAUUAAGUCUUCCCUAGCCUUCUGCAGGGUUAGCCACUCUCACCUGCUUAAUCCAGGGAGAUUAUGUCCUGGUUUCUUUUUAAGAAAAGCCAAACCCCCCCAGACCCUC